GGUUAAGCGACUAAGCGUACACGGUGGAUGCCCUGGCAGUCAGAGGCGAUGAAGGACGUGCUAAUCUGCGAAAAGCGUCGGUAAGGUGAUAUGAACCGUUACAGCCGGCGAUGUCCGAAUGGGGAAACCCAGUGCAAUUCGUU
rnacentral:rRNA from 1 species